rnacentral:rRNA from 1 species
UACGUAGGGAGCAAGCGUUGUCCGGAAUCAUUGGGCGUAAAGCGCGCGUAGGCGGCUCGAUCAGUCUGUUGUGAAAGUCAAAGGCUCAACCUUUGAAUGCCGAUGGAUACUGUCGAGCUAGAGUCUGGAAGAGGCGGGUGGAAUUCCUGGUGUAGCGGUGGAAUGCGCAGAUAUCAGGAGGAACACCAACGGCGAAGGCAGCCCGCUGGGACGGUACUGACGCUAAGGCGCGAAAGCGUGGGGAGCGAACAGG